AUUCUUGUCAGGUGCAUGAUAUUCAGCUUAAUGGCUAUGCACACUAUUCUAGGGAACUUUUUGAAUGCGCAGGGAACAGAGCCGAUAGGAUGGGCCAACAACAUAAUCUGGAUACAUUGGUUUUUCAAAUGGAACCCGGAAGAAAUCUACACGGCCAUGAGCUCUUCCUUGUCAAGGUAACAAAUGCUUAUAUUCAAAUAUUCUGGACAGCGAAUGAAAGAUGAAAAUGGAGGCCCAGAAGAGGAGUGGAGAGUCCUAGGCCCAAUAUAUUCCUACAAAAUAAUUACAAAACGAGUAAUUUCAUCGCUCCACCUGUCUGUUGAUGUUUUAGCUUGUAG